rnacentral:rRNA from 1 species
CGAAAGCCUGACGGAGCAAUGCCGCGUGGAGGAUGAAAGCCUAUGGGUUGUAAACUCCUUUUCUCAGAAAAGAAUUAAUGACGGUAUUUGAGGAAUAAGCAUCGGCUAACUCCGUGCCAGCAGCCGCGGUAAUACGGAGGAUGCAAGCGUUAUCCGGAAUGAUUGGGCGUAAAGCGUCUGUAGGUGGAUUGUAAAGUCCUCUGUUAAAGAUCGGGGCUUAACCCAGUUCAAGCAGUGGAAACUUAUAAUCUAGAGUACGGUAGGGGCAGAGGGAAUUCCCGGUGUAGCGGUGAAAUGCGUAGAUAUCGGGAAGAACACCGACAGCGAAAGCACUCUGCUGGGCCGAAACUGACACUAAGAGACGAAAGCUAGGGGAGCA